GGCUAAAUACUCCUGACUGACCGAUAGUGAACCAGUACCGUGAGGGAAAGGCGAAAAGAACCCCGGCGAGGGGAGUGAAAAAGAACCUGAAACCGUGUACGUACAAGCAGUGGGAGCCCCACCACUAAGCCAGUGGUGAACUCCACAUACGCAUCCUUUGCUGAGGAUACGGUUAACGGAGCGAAAGCGACGUUCAACCGCAAAAGAAGCAGAGGGGGCUUAGUGGUGGGGUGACUGCGUACCU
rnacentral:rRNA from 1 species